AUGUYCUCUGUAGCUCUGCUGCUGCUGCUGCUGGCUGCUGCAUCCUGUGUAAAGUGUGAACAGCUGAAUCAACCAGCCUCUGCGACUGUGCAGCCAGGUCAACGUCUGACCAUCAGUUGUCAGGUCUCUUAUGACCUGGUCUACUACACAGCUUGGAUCAGACAGCCUGCUGGGAAAGGACUGGAGUGGAUUGGGAUGAAAGAUAGUUAUGGAAAUGUGUACUUCAAAGAUUCACUUCGGAACAAAUUCAGUAUCGACUUAGACACUUCCAGUAAAACAGUGACUCUGAAUGGACAGAAUAUGCAGCCUGGAGACUCUGCUGUGUAUUACUGUGCCAGAGUCCCGUCCCACAGUGAUACAAACCAGCAGCAGAGCUGUGCAAAAAUCUCUCAUAGCCUGAACUUGAAAAAUACACCAAAGGGGGAGCUCAUACACCACUGA